CCUACGGGGUGCUGCAGUGAGGAAUAUUGGUCAAUGGGCGAGAGCCUGAACCAGCCAAGUCGCGUGAAGGAUGACGGCCCUACGGGUUGUAAACUUCUUUUGUCAGGGAGCCAAUGAGUCCACGUGUGGGCUUAGCGAGAGUACCUGAAGAAAAAGCAUCGGCUAACUCCGUGCCAGCAGCCGCGGUAAUACGGAGGAUGCGAGCGUUAUCCGGAUUUAUUGGGUUUAAAGGGUGCGUAGGCGGAAUAUCAAGUCAGCGGUAAAACUUCGGGGCCCAACCCCGUCGUGCCGUUGAAACUGAUGUUCUUGAGGGGGCGAGAGGUAUGCGGAAUGCGUGGUGUAGCGGUGAAAUGCAUAGAUAUCACGCAGAACUCCGAUUGCGAAGGCAGCAUGCCGGCGCCCAACUGACGCUGAGGCACGAAAGCGUGGGUAUCGAACAGGAUUAGAUACCCUGGUAGUC
rnacentral:rRNA from 1 species